UACAGCCAUACCACGUUGCAACACCGAUUUUCGUACGAUCGCCUAAGUUAAGCAAAGUCUCGCCUGUUCAUUACCUAGAUGAGUGACUGCUUGGAAAUACCAGGUGCUGUAAG